CUCCUACACCGACCGUUUUCUCCAUAAUCUUUCAAUAUACCUAAGGAAAUCUUUUCUGAUGUGGAAGAUCAGUUUAAACUGCAACCACAGAGCAUACUACGAUUAACCUUCCGCUCUGAUACCACUUGUUGUUCCAAUAGGGUCGGAAGCGUGUAAAUUAUUGUACUAAAAAAUCACACAAAGUUCAAUUCCCAGGGAAGAGAGGUGGAUCACAAGGAUCUCUUAAAUACCAAGUCUUUCCUUAGUCAGAAUAUCCCUUCUAUAGUAAUUUAAUAGCACAAUUAAAUACUACUAUUAUACCCUCAAAUAUUGAAAGAAAAAUAGGACAAAAAAGAACACAAGAGUUUUAACGAGGUUCGGUAAAUUAUACCUACGUCCUCGGGCACUAACACCAGAUGAUAACUUUACUAUCUCCAAAAUAUUACAAACGAAUAGAAUUCCUUAAGAAUUCUCAAAUGGGAGAAGAGAGAAAACUAAGAGAGAAAGAUUGGUUGGGAUG
rnacentral:lncRNA from 1 species